rnacentral:lncRNA from 1 species
CUUAAUACAUCUCUAUCUUACUUUUUUUGCAUUUCUGGGAAAAUAAGUUUUUUCCCAGAAAUCUACUGCGAUUGUGGCAGUAGACAGUCGUCAUAACAUCUUGUAUUACCUUUGGACUUGGGGGCACAUAAUUCUGUUUCUGUGGCAGACAUGGACUACACUAGUUUCAUGUCCUGGUGUUGCUAUCAACCCUUAAAGUGUGUUCAAAUGAGUGUCUGAAUUUCUUUCCAUUAUUAUGGGUUGGGACAGGGCAGAGACAAGGCAUUGCAGUAUUUGAGAGAGAACCCUCCUCUUUGUGACGAAAUAGAGAAGGUUUGGAUGCUUUUGCCUUGCAUAGUUAGCUUCUGUGCAAUUUAUAUUGUUUUGCUUGUUAAAAGAUCUCGUAUGUUAAUUAUGUGUUUAGGCCCCCUAAUUUAUUUGAUUGAAAAGUUGGCAUCAAUUACUACUUGAAAUUACCUGACCCCAUUUUCCUCCCCAUUAUGAUGGGUUUAUUCUAUGAAGCAUGGACACUUCAAAUUAGGCGUUGUAUCCGUGUUGGACAUUGACAUGCGGCGGACACUCUUGGACACGCCUCCAUUAUUUUAUUAUUUUUUAUUUUAUUAUACAUGUUGGAGACACAUCACGGACACUUGUCUUUCUGGACAUGCGUGUUUGUGGCGAUGUCCGUGUCCAUAAAUGCUUCUAAGAUAAAAUAUAGCAAUCUGUGGACACAUUGCCAGUAUAUGCUUCUAAGAUAUAAUGCUCAUUUCUUUUUUUGGGGAGGUAUUGGCUUGUACUUUAUUAGGUGAACUGAAAUUUAACUAAAUUUGAGAUGCUAUGCUAUUUUUUUGUAUUAACAUAAUUAUUAUUUUAUUUUGUUUUAUUUAUUCUAUAAAGGAUAUAUUUUUUUCAACUGUUCCCCGAUGUGUCUAUGUGCUAAGUUUUAGAAAAUUACAUGUCCGAUGUGUCUGUAUAGUGUCGUGUCCGUGUCCCAUUGAGCAAAGUUCGUUUCCAUUAUUUUAUAUAUUUAUUCUAUAAAAUUAUUCAUCAGUUCGUAUUAAGAGAGGCUCUGAGCGAAGUCAACUUGCAUUGUUUGAGAGAAAUAAACAACAUAAUGUUGAUUUCAAUAUGCAGAUUGUUCGGUCCAUGGAGGAGGGCAUUGGCCAAGUAGGGUUCACCAUUUUAAGUUGGAUUUAUCAAGGGUAAUGUUGACCUACUUAUCAAGUGGGUGAACAAAUUUAUUUUCGUAGUAAGGACGAUUAUGUACCGCGCUGCUCCCUCUUCAUUUUUGCUUGUAGUUCGUGCGCCGCUAUAAAAUCGUGAUCAUGUCUUGUGGCUCACUCCUUGCAUCGUAAGGUUAAAAUCUCAUUUGCAUUUUUAGUGGUCAACGGAAAAUGAGUUGAGUUGAUUUUCCCGCUAUUUUGAGGGAAAAAGGUUUGUACUUUUUAAAGGGAAAAAAGGUUUUGCACUCAAUAAUAUAUUAUAAUAGUAGUUGCGGUCCGUUUAAACUCGAAAAUGGAACCAUUAGUCUACUGCUUGUCAUUCUGUAAACUAAAACCAAACUGCUCUAGCAAAAGUCUAGAUCAAAUGACGCGGCUUGAUUGGUCUUUUUUUAGUGCUUAAACUGGUUCUUUUUCAGGGCCAUAUGUGGUAGGGGUGAAUAUCAGUUCGGGUUGUUGGUCUGGUCCAAUUAUCUUUAAAAUCGAUCGGUUUUGGUAUGCUAUUUUAGUGGACUGAAAUCGACGAGUCAGACCGGUUGGUUUUAGUCCAUUUCGAUUUCGGUCAGUCCAAUUAGGUUUGGGCAUGACUUUGGCCCAAUGGGUGGCUGUGACGGUUAAAUUAAAAAAUAAUAGACGGUCGAGAUUAAAUGUCUUUUAUAUAUUAAUAUCAUUAUAUGUAAAAUAUAGUUCGGUUCAGUUUGGUCAGUUUUUUCCCAAAUCGGACAACAACCGAAAAUUGAUUUUUUUCAAAACCAUGAACCGGGUCAAAAAUCAACGAUUCAGUUUGGUUUUUUCGAUCUGUCCAGUUUUUGGUGUGUUUUUUUUCACCCCUACUAUAUGGAAGACACCCCAUCAAAAUCUAAUAUACAAAUUCCAAAUGAAUUUGAAAAGUGAGAAGUAUCUUGUAUAUGUUCUCUUGCAGAAUGAGGUAAUAAUAAACUUGGGACAGACUUUAAUGAGUAGAACAAUAACAAUGUUAAAAUGACUACUGUGACAAAGCACUUGUGUUGUAAACCAGGAGAGCACCUCCUGCAAGAAUGCCAAACAGGGUCACAGCCCAUAUUGCCAAGCCAGUGGUUCCUGCAUUUCAAUUACUCAAAUCAAUCUAAAUUUAUCAAUAUAUCUCGGUUGUGUUUGGAUUAAAGAUUUUUGAAAUAGAUCGAACAAUUUCGAGAUAUAAUCUCUUUCCUUUCCUUUUCUAGUUUCCAAAUGAAUUAUUUUCUAAAUUCUUAAUCCAAAUAUCAUGAAAGAGAGGGAGAAUGUUUUUCAUAUGCCCAUCUACAAUCCUUACUAUUUAACCA